rnacentral:lncRNA from 1 species
GGAUUUGUUGAAACAUUUGGGAACCCUAUUAAAGUUGAGAGAUAGAGUUACGGAGAGUUAAAAUGUGUGUGUGUGUGUGUUUGUGUGUGUUUGUAGGAGGUGGUGUCUUUGGAGGAACAGCUGGAUCGCCUUAAAGACCAGGCCGGUGCACCAGGUGGAGAGUCGACGCCUCUGGAGGAGCGGCUGGUGAAGCUGCAGCAGGAUGCAGGAGCUCUGACCAACACCACUGAAAACAUGAUGAAGUCUCUGGAAGGUAAAGCAAAAUCUCUCAGGUCGCUGCAGGACGAGAUCCUUCAGAAGUCAAUCAACCUUGCUGUACAUGAGGCUACGCUUAAAGACCUUGUGACAGCACUUCGAAAGAAAGCGCGAGACCACAGCUUCUGCCAGGGCUGAACGUCCCUCAGCUGGCCUCGGAGCAGCAUCUCCUGCUGUCACUGCAACACUUCAGACCAGCCUUCCACACCAUUCACUGCUUCUACCAUCAGAAACAAGUGGUCACUCCCUAACUCUGGAACACUGCUCUAACUCUUCUCUAUAACAUUAUACCUCUUCUCGGCCAGUUCAAAGAUGUGGAUAUAUUGAACUUUAAAGACUAAUGUUUAUGAUCAGUGUAAACGUGGGGGGACGGCGGUACUGUAGGUUCCAUUUCACCAUCAGAAAUCCAUAAUGUGUGUACAUACCUUUUGAAAGUACCAAUAUUAUCCCAUUAUAUACAUGUUAAUGUAAUUCUCAUCAUUUAGCACUUUAUCUAUAAAAAGACCACAGGUUCUGACUUCCUGACAGCAAAGCGCCAACACAAACCUUUAUUUGUCAGCAUCAACACACUGUGAACAUUGCACCACAAUUAUUGUAUUUUUCAGGACUGAAAAAGGGUGAAUGUUACAUUAUUUAUUUUCUGUUUUGCAUCUGUUGCUGUUUAAAUAAAAGUAUGUUAAUACUUUGAUGUAUGUGUUAAAGCUUCAUGGGAGAGGCCAACAUGGUACUAGAUACUAGUACUACAUACUUAUUAAGAACAAAAUGUAUGUCACUACAUUUGUUCAUUCAAAAUCCUCCAUGACAUCACUGGUGUUGAUAGAUCUUUACUUCAGCUUGUGGCACUGAGCUCAGUUGUUUAACAAGAGAGCAGUUUAUGUACAUUUCACAGAGAACCCAGCAAACACCUAGUUUCUGUGUGUCAAUGACUUCACCUCAAAAUAAAGUUUAAUCGCACAAAUAAAAAGAACCGUCCAUCAUCUUUUUGUAAAGUGGAAAUCAGGUUUAUAAUCCAUCUAUGUACUCCAACAUCAAUGGAAAAUAAUAUUACAUGUCCAGAAAUCUGCCUUGCAAGGUUCAAAAGUUGAAGGUACGUUACCCACAUUUUGUUAGUGUCAGACGGUGAACAUACAUUACAUAUCUUAGAAAAGACAUACAAGAGGAUACAAUUGACAUGACUGAAGUUUCAGAGUCUACAAAAGCUUAUUAGCUUUAUAAAAAUUUAUUAGAAUUCAAAUUAGAACUCACAUCAAUAAUCCACUUGCAUAUGUCAGCUAAGUCUAUUCAAAACAAAUACAUUUUAAUGGUAUUUAGUAAAAUAUUGACAGUUAUAUACAGAAAAAUAAAUACCAACAGUGUAACUCAAUUUGUAUGAAUUCUAAAUGAUGAAUUCCUGCUUGUGUCUUUUUUAAUAUGGUGUUAAUUAUAGACAUUGCAUGUUAAAGUGUUUUUUAUAGUGCAGAUACUGUUAGUGUUUGUCGAUGGAACAUGUUCUGCAGCAGAGAACCACAGCAGGCAUGAAGAAGCUGAGCAGCAGAUGUAUCGACACCUUCAUAUAACGAGGGAGUGC